AACGCACAUUGCGCCCCUUGGUAUUCCAUGGGGCAUGCCUGUUCGAGCGUCAUUUACACCCUCAAGCUUUGCUUGGUGUUGGGCGUCUGUCUACGGACUCGCCCCAAAGGUAUUGGCAGCGGUCCUGCCGGGCCUCCUAAUCGCGCAGCACUGUUCGCGCUUCUUGGAGCCUGUGCGGAUUUUGCAUCCAUCAAGCCCACCUUUUUUUUAACUUGACCUCGAAUCAGGUAGGGAUACCCGCUGAACUUAA
rnacentral:misc_RNA from 1 species